rnacentral:rRNA from 1 species
AAACAACUCUCGGCAACGGAUAUCUCGGCUCUCGCAUCGAUGAAGAACGUAGCGAACUGCGAUACUUGGUGUGAAUUGCAGAAUCCCGUGAACCAUCGAGUCUUUGAACGCAAGUUGCGCCCGAAGCCAUUAGGCCGAGGGCACGUCUGCCUGGGCGUCACGCAUCGCGUCGCCCCCUCCCAACGUCGG